UACAGAGGGGGCAAGCGUUGUUCGGAAUUACUGGGCGUAAAGGGCGCGUAGGCGGCCGCCUAAGUCAGACGUGAAAUCCCUCGGCUCAACCGGGGAACUGCGUCUGAUACUGGGUGGCUUGAAUCCGGGAGAGGGAUGCGGAAUUCCAGGUGUAGUGGUGAAAUGCGUAGAUAUCUGGAGGAACACCGGUGGCGAAGGCGGCAUCCUGGACCGGCAUUGACGCUGAGGCGCGAAAGCCAGGGGAGCAAAGCGGG
rnacentral:rRNA from 1 species